GGUUCGAUCCUGGCUCAGAUUGAACGCUGGCGGGAUACUUUACACAUGCAAGUCGAACGGCAGCACGGACUUCGGUCUGGUGGCGAGUGGCGAACAGGUGAGUAAUGUAUCGGAACGUGCCUAGUAGCGGGGGAUAACUAUGGCGUAGCUAAUACCGCAUACGCCCUUCGAGGAAAGCGGGGGGACCUUCGGGCCUCGCACUAUUAAGAGCAGCCGAUAUCGGAUUAGCUAGUUGGUGGGGUAACGGCUCACCAAAGAGGCGACGAUCCGUAGCUGGUUUGAGAGGACGACCAGCCACACUGGGACUGAGACACGGCCCAGACUCCUACGAGAGCAGCAGUGGGAAUUUUUGGACAAUGGGGAAACCCUGAUCCCAGCCAUCCCGCGUGUGCGAUGAAGAGGCCUUCGGGUUGUAAAGCACUUUUUGGCAGGAAAGAAACGGCACGGGAUAAUACCGUGCAGCUGACAAAUACCUGCAGAAUAAGCACCGGCUAACUACGUGCCAGCAGCCGCGGUAUGCGUAAGUGCAAGCGUUAAUCGGAAUUACUGGGCGUAAAAGCGUGCGGGCGGUUCGGAAAGAAAGAUGUGAAAUCCCAGAGCUUAACUUUGGAACUGCAUUUUUAACUACCGAGCCAGAGUGUGUCAGAGGGAGGUGGAAUUCCGCGUGUAGCAGUGAAAUACGUAGAUAUGCGGAGGAACACCGAUGGCGAAAGCCUCCUGGGAUAACACUGACGCUCAUGCACGAAAGCGUGG
rnacentral:misc_RNA from 1 species